rnacentral:rRNA from 1 species
GACGAACGCUGGCGGCGUGCUUAACACAUGCAAGUCGAACGGAAAGGCCCUGCUUUUGUGGGGUGCUCGAGUGGCGAACGGGUGAGUAACACGUGAGUAACCUGCCCUUGACUUUGGGAUAACUUCAGGAAACUGGGGCUAAUACCGGAUAGGAGCUCCUGCUGCAUGGUGGGGGUUGGAAAGUUUCGGCGGUUGGGGAUGGACUCGCGGCUUAUCAGCUUGUUGGUGGGGUAGUGGCUUACCAAGGCUUUGACGGGUAGCCGGCCUGAGAGGGUGACCGGCCACAUUGGGACUGAGAUACGGCCCAGACUCCUACGGGAGGCAGCAGUGGGGAAUAUUGCACAAUGGGCGGAAGCCUGAUGCAGCAACGCCGCGUGCGGGAUGACGGCCUUCGGGUUGUAAACCGCUUUCGCCUGUGACGAAGCGUGAGUGACGGUAAUGGGUAAAGAAGCACCGGCUAACUACGUGCCAGCAGCCGCGGUGAUACGUAGGGUGCGAGCGUUGUCCGGAUUUAUUGGGCGUAAAGGGCUCGUAGGUGGUUGAUCGCGU